AUGCAGUGCAAAGAGAGGAUGAAGACACCAAACCCACAGCUCUUCCUCAGUGCUCUGAGUAAAACCAGAGCCUGGUGGCUGGGCCCAGCAGAACAACCCAUGCCAUUUUUGUGUGGAAGAGCUUUCAGCCUGACUAUCCUGUCAGCAAUGGCCUGCUCCUACCCAUCACCCAGCAAACUGCUGUGUUCAUUGGCAUGCUCCCCUGUUUAUUUAGAGGUCGGUGCAAGAAAGAAAUACUGGUUCUGACCUUGCGGACUUGAGAUACAGAUAAGAGGAAUUCGGAAUGUGAAGGGACUUAAGUCUUAUUGCAGCAGAGGGAGAAUAUUACCAUCCACAGGAUUUCAGAGGCUCAGUGCUACUCCUUCUAAUGCCGGACCUCAGGGCAGAACUGUGCAGUUGGAGCCUGCAAAAAAGGGUGGUUAAGCACUGCAGAAAAAGCCUCAUGCAAUGAGUCUCUUGAGAGUAUCUCCUCACCACCAUCUUCAUCACACAGACUGUCCAGUUCUGUUCAUCUUCAAUCUAUAAUUUUCACCUGCAAUAACCUGGGGAGUGAUAGUGGGACACUGACACACACAGUAAUACUUUGGGAUCUCAGUGUUCAAAAGCUUGCAGAAGGUAGAGCAGGAGCAAGCAGAGCAGAUUUUAACUCUCUGGAGCCAGAAAGGACAUAAUUUAUGUGCUCCUAAAGAAGAACCUGUGCUGGCAUUCACAAUAAUGUAAGUUAAAAAAAAAAAAGUAACCAAACUUAGGAGAAUAGAAUUGAAAAGGAGGAAGAUGUAAGGCUUUGGGUGGGUUUCCAGUACCAUCAGGACUUCCCAGGAGCUUCUGUAUCUCAGGACUAAGCUUUUUAAAAGUGCAGUUAUAUGUACUGAUGAUUGGGUUCCUGACACACAAACGCACAGUGGAGCCCCAUCCUCAAAUAUCAGCCCUUCCACUGGCUCUAUUCCCAAAUGCCAAGGGGGUCCAGCCUGCUGACCGUGAGCAUACAUGGCACAGUGCUCACAGAACUGAGAGGCCUCUGACUGACCCCAAGAAAGCCACCUUGGGGACCUCCUGAGGGCAAGAUCUGAGUUUUGCACAGCUGUGUACCUGGCUCAAGGAGUGGACUGCUGCUGGGGAUAUGGGAAGACUUGCUGCUUCCCUGCCUUCUGCAGGUACAGCAGCCUUGUGACAUCACAGCUGUCCACCUGAUGGCAAAGCCACCCCUCCUGUGGAGUCACUUGUAGCUUCAGAGCCAUGGAAUUGUCACAACGUGUGCCACCAAGGCCAUUUCCAAGCCGUGACUCAGUUACAGACAAAUUCCUUUUUCCUGGCAUGCUUCCCUUUUUCCCACUUCCCUCAAAGCCAAAUUUGCCUCCUGCAUUAGAAGAAUUCAGGAGAGUUUUCUUCCUACUGUUAAAGUGGAAUUCAUUGUCUUUCACCAUGCCUUUGACACCUUCCUGUGCACCCUAUUCUACCUCAGAUGCAUCCAUUUAAAGCCAGGUUCAGCAUUCAAUAAAUGUCCAGAGGCACAUGGAGUGAAGGGAUUCAGCUGCAAUCUUUACAUCAGCCUGGGCUGUUCUGGAGUGCUGGGCUUCAGCCUUGGCCAAACUUUUACUUGGACGGUGGGAGUGAUCCUUAAGGAGGCACUGAAGUGGGAACAGCAGCAGGAGUUGGUGGAAGAGCUGCAGCCUGACCUCUCCUACAGGAAGGUGUCCCACGAAAAUGAUGGUUCAUCUACUGUUCUGCUUUCCUCUUUUCAUAAAUUUGAAGACAUGGACAAAGACCCUUCUCCACUCACCAUCAUUCAGCAGGAAAAAGAAAGGAUGGGAAAGGAAAACAA